CGUGGAGCUUUACUGUAGCCUGAUAUUGAAAUUCGGCACAGCUUGUACAGGAUAGGUAGGAGCCUUUGAAACGUGAGCGCUAGCUUACGUGGAGGCGCUGGUGGGAUACUACCCUAGCUGUGUUGGCUUUCUAACCCGCACCACUUAUCGUGGUGGGAGACAGUGUCAGGCGGGCAGUUUGACUGGGGCGGUCGCCUCCUAAAAGGUAACGGAGGCGCUCAAAGGUUCCCUCAGAAUGGUUGGAAAUCAUUCAUAGAGUGUAAAGGCAUAAGGGAGCUUGACUGCGAGACCUACAAGUCGAGCAGGGUCGAAAGACGGACUUAGUGAUCCGGUGGUUCCGCAUGGAAGGGCCAUCGCUCAACGGAUAAAAGCUACCCCGGGGAUAACAGGCUUAUCUCCCCCAAGAGUUCACAUCGACGGGGAGGUUUGGCACCUCGAUGUCGGCUCAUCGCAUCCUGGGGCUGUAGUCGGU
rnacentral:rRNA from 1 species